rnacentral:rRNA from 1 species
CCUACGGGAGGCAGCAGUGGGGAAUAUUGGACAAUGGGGGAAACCCUGAUGCAGCGACGCCGCGUGAGUGAAGAAGUAUUUCGGUAUGUAAAGCUCUAUCAGCAGGGAAGAAAAUGACGGUACCUGAUUAAGAAGCCCCGGCUAACUACGUGCAAGAAGCCGCGGUAAUACCGAGGGGGCAAGCGUUAUCCGGAUUGACUGGGUGUAAAGAGAGCGUAGACGGCAUCGCAAGUCUGCAGUGAAAUUACGGGGCUUAACCCCGGAACUGCUUUGGAAUCUGUGUGGCUAGAGUGCAGGAGAGGUAAGUGGAAUUCCUAGUGUAGCGGUGAAAUGCGUAGAUAUUAGGAGGAACACCAGUGGCGAAGGCGGCUUACGGGACUGUAACUGACGUUGAGGCUCGAAAGCGUGGGGAGCAAACAGGAUUAGAUACCCCAGUGUC